rnacentral:rRNA from 1 species
UGAACGCUAGCGGCAAGCCUAACACAUGCAAGUCGAACGGUAACUUUUGGUGCUUGCACCGAAAGACGAGUGGCGAACGGGUGCGUAACGCGUAUGCAAUCUACCUUUUACUAGAGUAUAGCCCAGAGAAAUUUGGAUUAAUCCUCUAUAAUAUCAUUAAUUCGCAUGAAUUUAUGAUUAAAGCUUCGGCGGUUAAAGAUGAGCAUGCGUCCUAUUAGUUAGUAGGUGAGGUAACGGCUCACCUAGACUACGAUAGGUAGGGGUCCUGAGAGGGAGAUCCCCCACACUGGUACUGAGACACGGACCAGACUCCUACGGGAGGCAGCAGUGAGGAAUAUUGGACAAUGGACGAAAGUCUGAUCCAGCUAUGCCGCGUGCAGGAUGACAGCCCUACGGGUUGUAAACUGCUUUUAUACAGGAAGAAAACCUUCGACGUGUCGAAGCUUGACGGUACUGUAAGAAUAAGGAUCGG